rnacentral:rRNA from 1 species
UACGUAGGGCGCAAGCGUUGUCCGGAAUUAUUGGGCGUAAAGAGCUCGUAGGCGGCUUGUCGCGUCUGCUGUGAAAUCCCGGGGCUCAACCCCGGGCGUGCAGUGGAUACGGGCUGGCUAGAGGCAGGCAGGGGAGAACGGAAUUCCCGGUGUAGCGGUGAAAUGCGCAGAUAUCGGGAGGAACACCGGUGGCGAAGGCGGUUCUCUGGGCCUGUUCUGACGCUGAGGAGCGAAAGCGUGGGGAGCGAACAGG